AACAUGCGUCAGCCACAUGUGAGUCUCUCGAUGAGGAAACGCUCUCCAUCUCCUCAGCCAAUCAGUGAUCGGAGGAGUGUCAGGGGCGGGGUUCCCAUGUUGCGCUAUGGAAAAUCGUUAGGGGAUACACUGUGACAAACAUGCGCUCUGAGAUUGAUAAUAACCAGAAUAAGGCCAAAACGGGAACCUGGCGGAGUCAAUAUUCAGCGAGGGCCGGAACUGGGUGGCGCCGGCCAGGAUGAGGUACACAUUUCUUCAGUACAGAUGGAGGAAAGGCUUGAGCUAAACACUCGGCCCCAUUUGGACCAGGAGCAGCACCGGAUGACUGAAGUUGGCCCAGGAGAAGGCAUAGUAUAUGCCAUCAUGCCUGACAAAGAAGUCUGCGGGAACGCUGCUGAGAUCUAUUUUUCCACACCGUGAUUCACUGACAGUUUCUGCCAGGCUUGAUCUGUGUUUCCAUUUCGCUACUAUGCCCUACCAUCCUGAGAACUUGGCCAUCUGAUGCACUAACAAGCUGCUAAAACGUUGAGCUGAGUAUCUGUUUCCUUUUUAGGUUCAGGAAACUUUACAGCAUCAGCUUGCCUAUCUUUCAAAAAGUCUUUAUAUUGUACACUAUGCCCAAAUUACAUAGUGUGCAUGUACAUGUAGAUGUCUGUUUUGAAAAAUAGACAUCUAUUCAUAAAAAAUAAAAAAAAUACAGGCUGGAAUUCAGUCUUUCAUUAUCAGACAUUCUUUUGUGAAAUUGCAGCUCUCUACUUAACCUUGAAGGCUGCUUAAAACAAUGAGGAGCAGUUUGUUUUUCAUACUUUCAUAGAAGCAAAACGUAGAUCAGCAUUCUCUUGAGAUAAAAUAGCUUGCUGCUAUAAUGCAGUGAGAGCAAAAAAACAAACAGGCAAGAGAAUGCCAACAGCAUUCUCCUGCCCUAUUUGAUAAGAGGAAAAACAGAAUAAAAAAAGAAAUAUAAGACUGGCAGUAGGUCAAUGACGCUUUCACUGAUGUUGUUCGAUGUUGAUUAAAGUGUUCUGACAAUGCACAUGUGAAGGUGCUGCAUUUCUAGGUCCAUCCUUGCAGAUAAAUCAUAAAACAUGUUGAAAACAACGACAUUAGUUUAUUUCCCCCCAGGUGUGCCAGAAGCUGUGUCAGCUUGAAAGUCCUCCUCCCCAGGGAACUGGUUUCAGAUGGUGUCUUAGAGUCUAAAAUCCCAUCUAGCACCAUUUGAAAUCGGUGUUCUUGAGCGGGAACAGACUUCACUUUAGCAAUCAGUGUAGGACUGCUGUUUGGUUUGUGAUGGUAAUUUUCAAAACAAUUUGAAAUAGGACCGGGAAUGGGAUGCAUAUUGACAGACUGUAUGGCUCUACAAAACAUCAGCUAUUAAAUAGACAAGAGCAUAGGAAUCCAUUCUUCCGACCCUCUAAUCAAGGCUGACCGUUUUCCUCUGGUGUUCAGAGUUUCCAUCAUGUCUAGCACCAUUUGAAAUCGGUUACAAUGUGGGGGGAAAAUCAACAUUUUACAUGGUGAAUAUCCACCAAAGGCCACAAGAUGGCAGCAUUGCACUUACUUAUUUCAGUCAACAAAGCCACAGAGCUGGAAGAAUCCCUAAAGCAGGAAUGAGGACUAUGUGCAAAUCUGAAUUGUUUUGAUGGAAUAAAAACGUAUUAUUGUUAUUGAAAAA